rnacentral:rRNA from 1 species
UACGUAGGGUCCGAGCGUUGUCCGGAAUUAUUGGGCGUAAAGGGCUCGUAGGCGGUUCGUCACGUCGGGAGUGAAACUACGGAGCUUAACUCCGAGCCUGCUUCCGAUACGGGCAGACUAGAGGUAGGCAGGGGAGAGCGGAACUCCUGGUGUAGCGGUGGAAUGCGCAGAUAUCAGGAGGAACACCGGUGGCGAAGGCGGAUCUCUGGGCCUGUCCUGACGCUCAGGCGCGAAAGCUAGGGGAGCGAACAGG